CUUUUUUUAAAAAAAUAACUUUUUAUUUCUAGCCUCAACCAUUUACACUUUGCUUGAGAAAGAAUAAUAAAGUGGAAUUGUUAUUCCAGUGAUGUUGUGCAAAUGUGAGAAAUAGUACUUCCCCCAAAAAAACAAACCUCGAAACCCCACAAACUCAAGUGUACUUAAGUACUUAACGUUCAAGUACUUUUUAACUAUAACCAACUUUUCCACCACACUGUUGUGAAUAUUUGUUGCUAGCUGUUAUGGGUAUAAGUGAUCAAGGGAAGAACUGAUGCAUUACCUAAUGCUUGACUAAAUAUAGCCAGCCCUUAAGUAGGUAGAGUAUUUGGUUGUGGGUUUUGUUGUUUAAGUCUGUGGAGUCCCUCUUUGGUUUCUUUAACUUUUGCAGUCAUUAGGGCAGAGUAUAUUUAUUUACAUUUCUCCAAGCAAAGUCUUGCUCUGUUGCCCAGGCUGGAGUACGGUGGCGCGAUCUCGGCUCACUACAACCUCUGCCUCCCAGCUGAGGCAGGAGAAUCGGUUGAACCCAGGAGGCUGAGGUUGCAGUGAGCCGAAAUCACGCUACUGCACUCCAGCCUGGCGACAGAGUGAGACUCCGUCU
rnacentral:lncRNA from 10 species